rnacentral:rRNA from 1 species
UACGAAGGGGGCUAGCGGUGCUCGGAAUCACUGGGCGUAAAGGGGGCGUAGGCGGGUCUUUAAGUCAGGGGGGAAAUCCUGGAGCUCAACUCCAGAACUGCCUUUGAUACUGAGGAUCUUGAGUACGGGAGAGGUGAGUGGAACUGCGAGUGUAGAGGUGAAAUUCGUAGAUAUUCGCAAGAACACCAGUGGCGAAGGCGGCUCACUGGCCCGUAACUGACGCUGAGGCACGAAAGCGUGGGGAGCAAACAGG